UACGAAGGGGGCUAGCGUUGCUCGGAAUCACUGGGCGUAAAGCUCACGUAGGCGGAUUGCUAAGUCAGGGGUGAAAUCCUGGAGCUCAACUCCAGAACUGCCUUUGAUACUGGCGAUCUUGAGUCCGGGAGAGGUGAGUGGAACUGCGAGUGUAGAGGUGAAAUUCGUAGAUAUUCGCAAGAACACCAGUGGCGAAGGCGGCUCACUGGCCCGGUACUGACGCUGAGGUGCGAAAGCGUGGGGAGCAAACAGG
rnacentral:rRNA from 1 species